UGCCAGCCGCCGCGGUAAUACGGAAGGUCCAAGCGUUAAUCGGAAUUACUGGGCGUAAAGCGCGCGUAGGUGGUUUAUUAAGUUGGAUGUGAAAUCCCCGGGCUCAACCUGGGAACUGCAUCCAAAACUGAUUCACUAGAGUACGAUAGAGGGAGGUAGAAUUCACAGUGUAGCGGUGGAAUGCGUAGAUAUUGUGAAGGAAUACCAGUGGCGAAGGCGGCCUCCUGGCUCGACACUGACUCUGAGGUACGAAAGCGUGGGGAGCAAACAGGAUUAGAUA
rnacentral:rRNA from 1 species